CUCUGUCCGUCUCUUGGUGUUCCCUGAUUGGCUGCAACAAAUGUUGUGCUUCAUCAGAUGACUGGGGGUAUUUAAAGAGCUAUGCGAUGCGCAUGCACCCUGGGGUCAUGGUAGAAUUAUAUAUUUUAGAGAAAGGUACCGAAACGUUUCGAAUGCUAUGUUUUGUUAACAUUUUUUUUAGAUGUGUUGCGCUUUUGUGCGAUAUUAUUGUUAUAGUAAGGAAAGUAUAAGAGGGAAAGAUGACCACAUCUUGGCAAACUCCCCAACACACCCCUGAUAUGCGACAAAAUGGCAACGUCAUCCUGCAGCGUCGUUUAUAAACUUGAGUGAGACCCCCGGGGAUGGGGAAAUGGCCCCGGCCAAUCACAUGACUUGAUGGACUAGUUUGGGCAAGACAGCUCAGGUCAUUUCUCAUUAUUUAGCAGGUCACUCUUGUUUUGAGUCGGCGUCUUCUCGUUCUGCUGGUCUCUCAGGUUGUCCACUGUCUCACCCUCAGAUACAUUGUCCCAGUAAGGGGACAGAAAAUGGACAUCUCCCUUUUGGAUGAGACAAAAAAGUUCCUCUUGAUUACGGUCUGGACUUCGGAAUGGAGGAAACCCACUCAGGAGUACAAACAGGAUAACACCCAUCGCCCAGAUGUCUACUUCAACACCGUAACCUAUUCAUUCAAAGACAUACACACACACAUUUACGCUGAAAAUUUCUAAAUGUACCAACAUUUUUAAAAUUGAGAACUUGGAAAGUUGCAACUCAGGUUUUUUUGUGUCUAACCAGUUCCGCUAAUCUGGGUAAAGCAAGGGAUUUUACCUGUCUCAGCAAGUAUCUCUGGAGCAACAUAUGUGGGUGUGCCACAAACUGUAAACACAGGCUCUGUUAUCACCAUAGCUAAUCCAAAAUCGGCCAAUUUCAGAUUUAAACUUCCAUUGCCAUGCCGCUGAACCUUUGAACAAGUAAUAGAGAGUUAAAUUGAAAUCACCAACCACUAAUAAUUCAUAAAUUCUAUUUUACUUCAAUUAAUACUAAUGUACAACAUACAAAUAAUUUUUUACCAGUAGAUUUUCAGGUUUGAUAUCUCUGUGUGCAAUGCUCUUGUUGUGGAUGUAUUCCAGAGCCUGGCUGAUAUCUCUGAUCAUGCAUGCAGCACUUGGCUCAUUAAACCUGCCGCUCUGUGAGAUAGCAUCAAACAGGUCUCCACCGGUGACCAGCUCCAUCAGCAGGUACACAUGGGUGUCGGUGUGAUGUGAACGAAAGAGCUGAAUGAGUCGAGGAUGUUCCAGGCUACGUAGCAGAGAAAUCUCAUUCUUGAUCAUGUGACCGCGUCCCUGCAGCUUAGCGUUGUCCACGAUCUUCAUGGCAAAGAUUUCUGGUACGCCAUGCACUCGGCACUCCCUUACCACCGCGAAGUUCCCAUCCCCUACCACGCGGCCGAUCUCGUAACAGCGCUCGAUGUCUUCCGGUGUAACUUCCGCACCAUCUGCUGGUAGAUUAGCCUGGAAGUUUCUCUGUUUUGCCGCUUCUUGGUUAUGAAUGGCCUGCACAGUCUCGAAUAUAACUUCGGUGCUGAAAGCAUUAUCCAGGUUUUUAUCAGCAGAGUUAGGAUUGGCAACAUGCUCUUCGACUUUCAGUGGUCUGUGCGGUGUGUUUUCUGAAGUCUUAUUUGCAUCACUAGGGUUAUUUGGCCUAUACUGUGGUUUGCUUCUGAUUGGGGGUAUAGGUGGGCCACAUCCACGACAGCUCCUGCAAUAAACCGGUUCUGCCUUUCUUUCCUCCUUCUUUGGCUCCUUUUUAUCGUCUUUAUGUUGGUCACCCUUCCUCACCCACAACUCUCUGUCUUUUCUCUGCCUUUCUUUUUUAACUUUAUCUCUUUGCCGUCCUUGACCUCCAACAGGCUGCAGGUUGUUGGCAGCUGGUUGGUUUAGAUGUUGAUCACAUACAGUAGGUAAAGGCCCCUCACCGCCAGGUUCAUCGUCAUGGAAACCACUAUCUGCUUUAGUGGCUUUGGGUCUCAGGAUACGAUCCCAUAUCCUUAGGAGGUGUUCACAGUA